rnacentral:rRNA from 14 species
GGAUGCGAUCAUACCAGCACUAAAGCAACGGAUCCCAUCAGAACUCCGAAGUUAAGCGUGCUUGGGCGAGAGUAGUACUAGGAACAUGCGUACGUGUGCGGAAUAUAUUAAGCGCGGUUC